ACGAAGGGUGCAAGCGUUAAUCGGAAUUACUGGGCGUAAAGGGUGCGUAGGCGGUUCGUUAAGUCUGUCGUGAAAUCCCCGGGCUCAACCUGGGAAUGGCGAUGGAUACUGGCGAGCUAGAGUGUGUCAGAGGAUGGUGGAAUUCCCGGUGUAGCGGUGAAAUGCGUAGAUAUCGGGAGGAACAUCAGUGGCGAAGGCGACCGCCUGGCCCAACACUGACGCUGAGGUGCGAAAGCGUGGGUAGCAAACAGGA
rnacentral:rRNA from 1 species